rnacentral:lncRNA from 10 species
GUUCAACUUGGCAUGGGAGAGAGCCAAAUAUAAACACUCAUGUACUACAGCCCCACUCAAAGGUGGCUCUUAUCAGAAAGGGAAAAUUCUUCCCAAGCGCAUAGCUUCAGAAAGUGCAACUUAUCACCUUUCCGUGAAAGAGAAAAGUGGCCUAAGGAGAUAAUCCAGUCCAGAAGCAGGUGUUAAUAGAAAGAGCUCAGAGAAACUGUUGGUGCUAUCCAACAAGCAAACACGCAUCAAGACAAGCAAAGAAAUACAGACAGAACUUUAAAAUGAAGACAUUCUAAGAUCUCACUUUUAACUGAUAACCUGGAGGCAACGUUUACCAAGAUGGAUGGGCACAUAUCUAGGAACUGUCAAAAUCCAGGAAUGCUGGAAGAAGUAUGCAUUUGAGGACACUUAAGAAAUCAACUAUGAGUUUGAAACCAAGUUACAAAAGGAGAGAGCAACCACAUUUUUCAAAGAGAUUUUCUUUUGUCAUGGCCCAAUUCGAUCUUCACAGCGGACAACAUACAGCCGGGUGAGAUAGCAAGGCAACAAGAG